rnacentral:lncRNA from 1 species
GGGAGGUAAAAGAGUGAGCUACCAGAACUUACACAGGAAGGAAAAAGAGGGGACAACCAGAACUUACACAGGAAGGGUAAUAAGGGGACUACCAGAACUUACACAGAAAGGGAAAGAGGGAACUACCAGAACUUACACAGGAAGGGAAACGAGGGAACAACCAGAACUUACACAGGAAGAGUAAUAAGGGGACUACCAAAACUUACACAGGAAAGGAAAAGAGGGGACAACCAGAACUUACACAGGAAGGGAAUAGAGAGGACUACCAGAACUUACACAGGAAGGGAAAAGAGGAAAUACCAGAACUUACACAGGAAGGGAAAAGAGGGGACUACCAGAACUUACACAGGAUGGGAAAGAGGGGACUACCAGAACUUACACAGGAAGCGAAAAGAGGGAACAACCAGAACUUACACAGGAAGGGAAAAGAGGAAAUACCACAACUUACACAGGAAGGGAAAAGAGGGGACAACCAGAACUUACACAGGAAGGGAAUAUUAGAGGACAACCAGAACUUACACAGGAAGGGAAUAUUAGAGGACUACCAGAACUUACACAGGAAGGGAAAGGAGGAAAUACCAGAACUUACACAGGAAGGGAAAAUAGGGGACAUCCAGAAUUUACACAGGAAGGUAAAUAAGGGGACAACCAGAACUGUCACAGGAAGGGGAAAAGAACAAGGCCUAUUUUAGAACAAAAUGACAUGGUCAAUAGAACAAUAGCAGUCAUCUAACCGGAUCACAAACAGCCUUUUGCAUUCUCAGUGUUUUAACAUUUAUAAACGUAAAAGGUCUUCCUUACGUAAUGACAUGAUUAAAAUGCACGGCGUCACCAAAGCUAUUUUAUCCUAUGAAGGUUAUCAGAAACAGAACAUCUGAAAAGGAAUGAAGAGCGAGCUACACAUGGCCUUGAUUAUCAAAGAGGGAGUGAUCUGUGAUCUAGCUUUAUUUCUAGUAAGAACCUUUAACGUCAACAUCUGAAUCGUACAACUCAAAUACAGCCAAGUAUAUAAACAACAUCUCUGUAUAGGUAGAUUGCCACCGUUCAAAAUUCAAACGAGUAAUUUUUUUUUAAUGAAGGUUCUUGAAAGUGAAAAUCACGCAGGCAACGUUGACCUUUCAAAGCAUAUGGCGUUCCUUUAAAUGUGAGGAACAGCCGGCGGAACAGACGAGUACGCUCCUCGACUCCUUCCGUCAAACGAGAAGAAAGAGAGGAGGAUGAAGUGAAGGGAAUGAAUAUUCAUGGCAGAGUGUUUGCUUGAUUUCCAUGGGGACACG